AUCUGGCGGAGCAAUCCCGGAAGUGGAACGUUGUGGAUAUAGACUAUGUAGAACCAAUUUCAAAAAUGUGCCACUUUGCUGCAUAAACAGCCACGUUUAAUGAAAAGACCCUUUCCAGUGGUAAAAUACAUCUUUAAAGAAACAUGCUAUGCUGUUCAGGCGCUGUUUAUACUUGAAAUUAACAUCAGGUGCAGGUUGAACAAAAUCUAAAAGUUUUUCUUCUUCUAAUUUAGCCUUAAUAGAGAGCUCUAAAUCAGUUUGAAGGAUGUUUUGACCAUAUGUGUGUGGUAAAACAAUGCAUAAUGCAAUCCCAUUAUCCACCUGUUUGUGUUUAUUAUGUUGUUAUAAUGAAGUGGCUACCUUCAUAAAGCUGCUCGUCUGUUCUGGAUGCAGCAGACACACACGCAGCUUGUUGCCUCUGUACGGCAUCUCCAUCAUGUCGAAUGCCAGCGCCUCAGGGACUGCCAGCACCACGGCAACCAGCCAGAUCAGAGUCACCUCCACUGCUUUCCACAGAGGGAUCCCCAUCCCCUUCACCCUGCUCCAUGAGGUCACAGCGUGGUAGCUACACAAACACAGUCUACUUACCGGUCAAUACUGAGGGCACACAAGCUGAGGACGGUGAUUCCCACUGAAGCUUUCUGGAUGAACGGCAUCAACUUACAGACGUACACGCCAAACGGCCAGUCCUCGGCUAUUAACUGCAGAGAAAAUAAUAAUGCAGACAAGAGAGGGAAGACGUUUAUAAUGAGAGAAGUGUCCCCUGUGCACACAAUGACAGACAUCUUUGAUGUUCAUGUAGAGGUUCUGUCUUCCUCGUGUCUUCCAUUAUUACUGUGGCAGCUAGCCAAUAUCAAGUUCAUCUCCCAGGGGUUAUAAAAUCAGUUCAGCAUCAGGACAAUGUCCUCAACAAAUCAGGCUACACGUUUGAUUGUUGUGGAGGGCUUUGCACUUGCCAGCCACUUAUCAAAAUCUGCAGUUAUGUGGCUUACAACUCUAGGCUGUAUAUCCUUAUCAUACAUUUACUCUCAUCAUGUCACAAAUACCUGUAAUGCAGGACCCCCGAGGCAAAGAAAAUAUGACUAUUACUCAGAUUGGCCUGGAUAAAAUGCAGCACAGCAUUUUACUUAAAAUGACUUAAAAGUGUGUUCAAUCAGAUUUUGGAAAAAUAAAACGAGUUUCACAUGUUG